rnacentral:rRNA from 1 species
AAACGAUGCCAACCAGCAAUCCGCCAGAGUUCCUUAAAUGACUCGGCGGGCGGCUUCCGGGAAACCAAAGUUUUUCGGUUCCGGGGGAAGUAUGGUUGCAAAGCUGAAACUUAAAGAAAUUGACGGAAGGGCACCACCAGGAGUGGAGCCUGCGGCUUAAUUUGACUCAACACGGGAAAACUCACCUGGCCCGGACACCGUGAGGAUUGACAGAUUGAGAGCUCUUUCUUGAUUCGGUGGUUGGUGGUGCAUGGCCGUUCUUAGUUGGUGGAGUGAUUUGUCUGGUUUAUUCCGAUAACGAGCGAGACUCUAGCCUACUAAAUAGAUCGUCGGCUUACAAACGCCGACGAGACUUCUUAGAGGGACAGGCGGCGAUUCAGCCGCACGAAACAGAGCAAUAACAGGUCUGUGAUGCCCUUAGAUGUCCGGGGCCGCACGCGCGCUACACUGAAGUGAUCAGCGUGCUUUUUCAACCUACUCUGUCAAGAGUGGGGAACCCAAUGAACCUUCUUCGUGAUUGGGAUAGGGGAUUGUAAUUAUUCCCCUUGAACGAGGAAUUCCCAGUAAGCGCGAGUCAUAAGCUCGCGUUGAUUACGUCCCUGCCCUUUGUACACACCGCCCGUCGCUACUACCGAUUGAAUGUUUUAGUGAGGUCUUCGGACUGGCCGGUGCAGCUACUCUUGUAGUGGCAGCGCUGUGUUUG